rnacentral:tRNA from 1 species
ACCGUUGUAAAUCAGUGGUUAGAGCGUAGGUGUCGUAACCGGAAGGUUGCGGGAUCGAAUCCCGCUAGAGGCU